CCGGUUUCAUUUGAUGAAUUUUAUUUCAGAGAAUAUUUUAUUUUGAAAAAUAAAUCCGUCAAGUUAAGUUGGAUUUUAGUGAACAAUUAUAUGAUUAACACGAACUUACUUUGCUUCAAACCUCGUAUAACGAACUCUCCCAGUAUCGGGACUUGUGUGACUCGAGUUAGAGCGAAUGAUGAGCUGGCAAAACAAAAAGUCAGUUUCAGGCAGCCACGUUUCAUUUAGUUCCGCGUCGAUGUUCAUGCCACGUCAGA